rnacentral:rRNA from 1 species
GACGAACGCUGGCGGCGUGCUUAACACAUGCAAGUCGAACGAAGAGCGAUGGAAGCUUGCUUCUAUCAAUCUUAGUGGCGUACGGGUGAGUAACGCGUAAUCAACCUGCCCUUCAGAGGGGGACAACAGUUGGAAACGACUGCUAAUACCGCAUACGAUCUAAUCUCGGCAUCGAGGAUAGAUGAAAGGUGGCCUCUACAUGUAAGCUAUCACUGAAGGAGGGGAUUGCGUCUGAUUAGCUAGUUGGAGGGGUAACGGCCCACCAAGGCGAUGAUCAUUAGCCGGUCUGAGAGGAUGAACGGCCACAUUGGGACUGAGACACGGCCCAGACUCCUACGGGAGGCAGCAGUGGGGAAUCUUCCGCAAUGGACGAAAGUCUGACGGAGCAACGCCGCGUGAGUGAUGACGGCCUUCGGGUUGUAAAGCUCUGUUAAUCGGGACGAAAGGCCUUCUUGCGAAUAGUGAGAAGGAUUGACGGUACCGGAAUAGAAAGCCACGGCUAACUACGUG